CAGAAAAGCAGCAGCAGCAGCGAUGUAUGUUGUGGUUUGUGGU
rnacentral:SRP_RNA from 12 species